UUGACGGGGCCGCACAAGCGGCGGAGCAUGCGGAUUAAUUCGAUGCAACGCGAAGAACCUUACCAAGGCUUGACAUACACCGGUAACGCCCAGAGAUGGGUGCCCCUUUGUGGUCGGUGUACAGGUGGUGGCAUGGUUGUCGUCAGCUCGUGUCGUGAGAUGUUGGGGUUAAGUCCCGCAACGAGCGCAACCCUCGUCCUAUGUUGCCAGCGGGUCAUGCCGGGGACUCAUGGGAGACUGCCGGGGUCAACUCGGAGGAAGGUGGGGAUGACGUCAAAUCAUCAUGCCCCUUAUGUCUUGGGCUUCACGCAUGCUACAAUGGCCGGUACAAAGGGCUGCGAUACCGCGAGGUGGAGCGAAUCCCAGAAAGCCGGUCUCGGUUCGGAUUGGGGUCUGCAACUCGACCCCAUGAAGUCGGAGUCGCUAGUAAUCGCAGAUCAGCAACGCUGCGGUGAAUACGUUCCCGGGCCUU
rnacentral:rRNA from 1 species